GUCUAUUUGAAGGUAUUAAUAGUCUGGCCUGCUCACUGACAUUAUAUAAUGUUAAAGAGCCGCGGUAUCCUGACCGUGCAAAGGUAGCAUAAUCAUUAGUUCUUUAAUUGAGAACUGGUAUGAAUGGUCGGACAAGAGAAACCCUGUCUCUGCUGUUAUAGUAGAAUUUAACUUUUAAGUGAAAAGGCUUAAAUUUUUCAAGGGGACGAUAAGACCCUAUAAAGCUUUAUAUAUUAAUUAGAAUUAAUUAAAUUGAAUAAAUAAAAAUUUAGUCUUAAAAGUAUAUUUAGUUGGGGCGACGAAAGUAUAAUUAAUAAUAACUGCUUAAACUUAAUACAAUAAUAAAUGAUUUUUUUUUAAUUGAUCCUUUUUAAAGAUUAAAGACCAAGUUACUUUAGGGAUAACAGCGUAAUUUCUUUUGAGAGUCCCUAUCGAAGAAGAAGUUUGCGACCUCGAUGUUGAAUUAAAAUAUCUUUAUAGUGCAGCAGCUAUAAAAAGAAGGUCUGUUCGACCUUUAAUUUUUUACAUGAUUUGAGUUCAGACCGGCGAGAG
rnacentral:rRNA from 1 species